GGUCCAUUCAAAUUUCUGCCCUAUCAACUUUCGACGGCUGGGUCUUGGCCAGCCAUGGUGACAACGGGUAACGGAGGGUUAGGGCUCGACCCCGGAGAAGGAGCCUGAGAAACGGCUACUACAUCCAAGGAAGGCAGCAGGCGCGCAAAUUACCCAAUCCCGACCGGGGAGGUAGUGACAAUAAAUACUGAUACAGGGCUCUUUUGGGUCUUGUAAUUGGAAUGAGUACAAUUUAAAUCCCUUAACGAGGAACAAUUGGAGGGCAAGUCUGGUGCCAGCAGCCGCGGUAAUUCCAGCUCCAAUAGCGUAUAUUACAGUCGUCGAGGUUAACAAGCUCGUAGUUG
rnacentral:rRNA from 1 species